rnacentral:rRNA from 1 species
AAUUCUAGAGCUAAUACAUGCAAUAAAGCUCUGCCCGCAAGGAACGAGCGCAUUUAUUAGAAUAAAAACCAAUCGGGUUUCGGCCCGUAAUUUGGUGAAUCUGAAUAACUUUGCCAAUCGCACAGUCCUAGUACUGGCGAUGUAUCUUUCAAGUGUCUGCCUUAUCAACUUUCGAUGGUACGCUAUACGCCUACCAUGGUAGUAACGGGUAACGGAGAAUAAGGGUUCGACUCCGGAGAGGGAGCCUGAGAAACGGCUACCACAUCCAAGGAAGGCAGCAGGCGCGCAAAUUACCCACUUCCAGAACGGAGAGGUAGUGACGAAAAAUAACGAGACAGUCCUCUUCGAGGUCUGUCAUCGGAAUGGGUACAAUUUAAAUCCUUUAACGAGGAUCUAUUGGAGGGCAAGUCUGGUGCCAGCAGCCGCGGUAAUUCCAGCUCCAAUAGCGUAUAUUAAAGUUGUUGCGGUUAAAACGCUCGUAGUUGGAUUUGCGGCCUCGAAGAACGGUCCCCCGAAAGGGCGGUCACUGUCUCUUCUAGCCUAAAGUCGAGUCGUCUCUAGGUGCUCUUUAUUGAGUGCUUAGAGUGACUAGAACGUUUACUUUGAAAAAAUUAGAGUGCUUAAAGCAGACGAAAUAGUCUGAAUAAGGUGCAUGGAAUAAUGGAAUAGGACCUCGGUUCUAUUUUGUUGGUUUUCGGAGCCCGAGGUAAUGAUUAAGAGGAACAGACGGGGGCAUUCGUAUUCCGGCGCUAGAGGUGAAAUUCUUGGACCGCCGGAAGACGAACAACUGCGAAAGCAUUUGCCAAGAAUG